UACGUAGGGGGCAAGCGUUGUCCGGAAUCAUUGGGCGUAAAGAGCGCGUAGGCGGUCCGGUAAGUCCGCUGUAAAAGUCAAGGGCUCAACCCUUGAAAGCCGGUGGAUACUGCCGGGCUAGAGUCCGGAAGAGGCGAGUGGAAUUCCUGGUGUAGCGGUGAAAUGCGCAGAUAUCAGGAGGAACACCGAUGGCGAAGGCAGGUCUCUGGGCAUUAACUGACGCUGAGGAGCGAAAGCAUGGGGAGCGAACAGG
rnacentral:rRNA from 1 species